UACGUAGGGUGCGAGCGUUAAUCGGAAUUAUUGGGCGUAAAGAGCUCGUAGGCGGCCGGUUGCGUCUGCUGUGAAAUCCCGGGGCUUAACCCCGGGCGUGCAGUGGAUACGGGCCGGCUGGAGGCAGGCAGGGGAGAAUGGAAUUCCCGGUGUAGCGGUGAAAUGCGCAGAUAUCGGGAGGAACACCGGUGGCGAAGGCGGUUCUCUGGGCCUGUACUGACGCUGAGGAGCGAAAGCGUGGGGAGCGAACAGG
rnacentral:rRNA from 1 species